rnacentral:tRNA from 1 species
GGGCUAUAGCUCAGCGGUGGAGCGCUUUACACAUGACCGAGAGUGUCUAUGGCUUGAAUCCGUAUAGUCCUA